rnacentral:rRNA from 1 species
UACAGAGGGUGCAAGCGUUAAUCGGAGUUACUGGGCGUAAAGGGCGCGUAGGCGGUUGUUUGGGUGUGAUGUGAAAGCCUUGGGCUUAACCUGAGAAGUGCAUCGCAAACUAAAUGACUGGAGUAUAUGAGAGGGUGGCGGAAUUUCCGGUGUAGCGGUGAAAUGCGUAGAGAUCGGAAGGAACGUCAAUGGCGAAGGCAGCCACCUGGCAUAAUACUGACGCUGAGGCGCGAGAGCGUGGGGAGCGAACAGG